AGUGAACGCUGGCGGUAGGCCUAACACAUGCAAGUCGAACGGUAGCACAGUAAGAGCUUGCUCUUACGGGUGGCGAGUGGCGGACGGGUGAGGAAUACAUCGGAAUCUACUCUUUCGUGGGGGAUAACGUAGGGAAACUUACGCUAAUACCGCAUACGACCUACGGGUGAAAGCAGUGGAUCUUCGGACCUUGCGCGAUUGAAUGAGCCGCUGUCGGAUUAGCUAGUUGGCGGGGUAAAGGCCCACCAAGGCGGCGAUCCGUAGCUGGUCUGAGAGGAUGGUCGGCCGCAUUGGAGGGGGAACAGGGUCCAGAGUACUGCGGGAGGCAGCAGUGGGGAAUAUUGGGCAAUAGGGGGGAGCCUGGUCCAGCCAUACCGCGUGGGUGAAGAAAGCCUUGGGGUUGUGAAGCCCUUUUGCUGGGAGAGAAAAGCAGCAGGUUGAUACCCCGCUGUUCUGACGGUACCCAGAGAAUAAGCACCGGCUAACUUCGUG
rnacentral:rRNA from 1 species